GACUAUUUUAACGGAUUGUUUAUGUCGACCCUACGCUACGAUUCUUCUUCACCUAUGAAAUUUCUAGUUAGAUGAACACUGCUCUGCUGCAUGACGGAGUGAUCUUUCCCUCUUAUGAAAGCCGGUAUCUCACUUUCGAAAGAGAGUCUCGACGUGGCGGUGUAGACCUAGCUCCAUAGCUGGGCUAGUCACUGGCUAGAGGGCGACCGACCUACCGGACGAUCUUUCCCUCUUAUGAAAGUCGGUAUCUCACUUUCGAUUGAGAGUCUCGACGUGGCGGUGUAGACCUAGCUCCAUAGAUGGGCUAGUCAUUGGCUAGAGGGCGACCGACCUAUCAGACCGGAGGCUGCCGAGAAUGUUAUGUAAAAAGGACCAAGGAGGAUCCUACCCUAAAGGAGAAGGAGGAGGAGUAGGAGCUAGCUUUAGGGGCGGAAUCGUAUGAUUACGAGAUAAAUAAUG
rnacentral:lncRNA from 1 species